rnacentral:rRNA from 1 species
AUGUGAUCGUCUCUCGCAUAUCAAUAAGCGGAGGAAAAGAAACUAACAAGGAUUCCCCUAGUAACGGCGAGUGAAGCGGGAAGAGCUCAAAUUUGAAAUCUUAAAGGGUUUCCCUUUACGAAUUGUAGUUUAAAGAAGUGUUUUCUGUUGAGGUUUUGGUAAAAGUUCUUUGGAAUAGGACAUCAUAGAGGGUGAGAAUCCCGUAUUUGACCUUUACUUUCAACUUUGUGAUACACUUUCAAAGAGUCGGAUUGUUUGGGAAUGCAGUCCAAAAUGGGUGGUAAAUUUCAUCUAAAGCUAAAUAUUGGCGAGAGACCGAUAGCGAACAAGUACCGUGAGGGAAAGAUGAAAAGAACUUUGAAAAGAGAGUUAAACAGUACGUGAAAUUGUCAAAAGGGAAGCGUUUGACACCAGUGUUGUUUUUCUGAAAAUCAAUUAAAGAACUGUUUAUGCUAAGUUGUUUAGACUUUAUCAGCUAUCUGCUUAGUUUUGAGCUUUUCUUUAAUGCACUUUUCAGUUAACAAGUCAACAUCAAUUUCUUUUGCUGUAAAAAAGCUUGAGGAAGGUGGCUUGAGAUCCGUCUUAAGUGUUUAUAGCCUCUUGCCUAUGCAGUCGGAGAGAUUGAGGUCUGCAGCGUAGAUCCUUCGGGGCUAAAUGCAUUUGUGCUAAGUUAUAGCAUUUUAUAGACAACUUGUUGACUAUGAUUUGUCUUGUAGCUUACUCGCUUAUGUUAUUUUACCUACGCUUAGGAUGUUGACGAGACUGUCGAUCUCAUCUAUACAUGACUCUGUGCAUAUCAAUAAGCGGAGGAAAAGAGGGCUACUACCUACGCUUAGGAUGUUGACGAGACUGUCGAUCUC